ACUGGAAGUGAAAGUAUUCUGACCACCAUUCAAACAUCAUGCUGAAACUAUCGCAGUCAAGCAGAGAAAUCAAAUUUCGUGUAAUUUGCAAAUUAACCAAUGAAAGAUUCUACGUGAGUUCAGGGCAAAGGGGUCAGUGAUCAUCCGGUUGCGGAACAAAAAUCGUGCUUGACCGGAGACCGCUCGUCGACUGAAGAUGUUCGUCGUUUAUGCAAUGAGCUGUAACUGGUCAUUGUUUACAUCGUUUUAAUCUUAGUUUACCGUAAUUGUGUACCUGAUUGUAUCAUUAAAAGAAGGAUUUUCAGUCAGUACUGAAUUGUAUUAAAAUCACUGUGGCUUGAGGAAUUUUGACAAAGCUCCAAGGUUAACUACCCACACAAGAUAUCAUAUACAACGCAAACCACAGGGUUGCCAAGUUUUGGAAGAAAACAAUAUCAGGAAUUUCCGCUCGUUAAGCUUGUUUACGGAACAUGAAUCACAGAAUACAUUGGGUUACAAGUUCAUCAAAGUCAUCACAUGUUAUAAGGGUUGGUAGAAGCGAAAGAAGUCAAAUGGGCAAUAUUUCGUGUUUAUUCCUUGGUUUAAGAAGAGCUGCCGGAUACAAAAACGAAGAUCGAAAGAGCAGAAGUUCCACUGCUGAUAAAUCUUCUGAAUCAGGUUUUUUUGAACAAGAUCCAAGUGAUUUCAGGAGAAAAAUGGUCUCAUCAAUAAUUUCAUCUCUGCUUUAAGAGAUCAGCUUCAAUGGAAAAGACAUAUCAUUUCCGAACGAUCCAGCGUCAACCUGCCAUG